CUACGGGCGGCAGCAGUGGGGAAUAUUGGACAAUGGGGGAAGCCCUGAUCCAGCAAUGCCGCGUGUGUGAAGAAGGCCUGCGGGUUGUAAAGCACUUUCGGUUGGGAGGACUGCUUCUAGCACUAAUAUUGUUGGAAGUUGACGUUACCUUCAGAAGAAGCACCGGCUAACUCCGUGCCAGCAGCCGCGGUAAUACGGAGGGUGCGAAGCGUUAAUCGGAAUUACUGGGCGUAAAGCGCGCGUAGGCGGCUAGAUCAGUCGGGUGUGAAAGCCCCGGGCUUAACCUGGGAACUGCAUCCGAUACUGUCUAGCUUGAGUACAGGAGAGGAGAGUGGAAUUCCACAUGUAGCGGUGAAAUGCGUAGAUAUGUGGAGGAACACCAAUGGCGAAGGCAGCUCUCUGGCCUGAUACUGACGCUGAGGUGCGAAAGCGUGGGGAGCAAACAGGAUUAGAUACCCCCGUAGUC
rnacentral:rRNA from 1 species